UCAGAGUAUUGUCAUUUGAAUCUGUGUUUAUAAUGUCAGUGUAUUACUUUAAAAGCGUAUUACUGACACCACAAACAGUCCUGUCAAUAUGCAGUGUGUGUUGUUCUCUCUUCUCUUACAGAAACCGCUUUAAAAAGUACAUUCAGCUCCUCCUCUCUAUGGACUGUCAACUUGAAUGGGAUGGGAACAUCUGUUGCCGGGGAAACCAGAGGCAAGAUUAACCAAGGAUACCAUGCUGAAGACGCAACAGGUUCAGGACACAGUGACCUUUCGAACAGAGCUGACAGCAUGACAAACAUCCCUAGCCCUCCACGGCACACCUCUCAGAAUCAAACAAAAGGGGAAUCAAACCUGUACAGUAAGGAAGUGAAGACAGUCCGCCGGGUCACCACCGUUUGACGUCACUGAUCCCAUCGUGAGAAGCGCUGUUUACAUAGUUUGUCCCGAAGCUGUUUUUUUGGGGCAAGUUUUCCGUUAUAUGAGAUAAAGCAUGAAAUCAAACUGACCUUAUAGUUACUCCAAAGAGGUCACAUCUGCCGAAGAUCUUGUUGUCAUCCGUGCAGUAAAACUGUGAUCUGUGUUUACACUGUUCAUGGCUUGGAUUUCAAAGGAGACCCAGCAGGGAUGUAAAACGGCAUGAAAUCGUGUACAGAGAUUCACAUAUUAAUACCACAUAUACAUAAUUGUAUGAUUUUUGUAGAAUUUUGUCCAAUCAUUUUGUGUAAUACUUUUAGAUAGCUUUCGUUCUUAGUACUUUUGAUAUAUUUUAUGUUUGGUAUUUAUUUGUAUUUUGAGUGCUGGUUGAGUUUGAUCAGUUCCAGGUUAGUGAACAAUUGAAACAAUUGCUAACACAGAAUAUCUUUAAAGGAGUAGUUCACUUCAAAAUUGACUUUCCCUAGUAGGACUAAAAGGAUUAUGGAAAGUGAAAGGGGGCAAAUUUUGACGUGAACUACUCCUUUAUAAGUCUUACGAUCUUUAAAAUCUAACCUUGAUCUUUUUUUAUACAAGAAACAUUGUAUAUGGUGAUUAUUUACUGGUGAACAUUCACACGAUUCUUCAUUUUUAUUCCUUAUUAUUGUAAUAGUUGACGAUGAGCAGAUGCAUGACAUAUUUAUGAAGAUCAAAUGUGAGAUUGUCCUGAUAUAACACGUGUCCAUAAUGUUGAACUCAGACGGCAGGUGAUGAAUAAAUUAGGCUCUCCCGCAGUAGGUCGCUCAAAGCUGUUGUGAUAUGAGAGGGUGAUAACAUGACGCUGUUGUUUCUGUUUGGGUCUUCAGACCAGUGUUAUCUUUCCUAGACCUGCUUGUGUUACUGAGGUUUUCAUUUGCCAUUCACAAGAGGUGGACUGGUGAUCGAGGUCAGGCAGACUUCUCUGGGGUAAUUUACAGGGCGCAGUGUUUGUCUCUCAGAGACAGAGUGUGCGAUGCUAAAAGUAAAUUAUGUUUUUUGUUUAGGAGCACAACAACAUAUAGACACAUUUUGGCAGGCACUUUUAUUCAAAGCUACUUAGAAAGCAUUGCCAUUUAGUUAUAUAUCAGUGCAUAAAUGCAUACAGGUGCGUCACAAUGCCAUAGAAGAACCUUUUUGGUCUCAAUGGUUCCAUAAAGAACCGUUAACACCAGAAGAACCUUUCUGUUUCACAAAAGGUUCUUUGUGCAGAAAAAAGGUUCUUUGAGUUCUUUGAGAAGAGAUGGUUCUUUAAAGAACCUUUGACUGAAUGGUUCCUUGUGAAACCAAAAUGGUUCUUCAAUGGCAUGUGAAGAACCUUUUAAGCACCUUUAUUUUUAAGAGUGUACCAACUAAGCUGCAGGAAUGGUCUUGGAGGGACAGUUCACCCCCAAAUACAAUUCUGUCAUCAUUUAUUCACCCUCAUGUUGUUCAAAACCUGUAUAUGACUCUUUCUUCUGUGGAACUCAAAAGGAGAUAUUUUGAGAAAGGUUUCAGUGGUUUUGUGUUCAUACAAUGGAAGUCAAUAUGGUUUAACAUGGUUUGGUUACCAACAUUCUUCAAAAUAUCUUCUUUUCUGCCAACAAAAAAUCUGAAAUCACACUGCUUUGGAAUGACACAAGAGUGAGAAAAUGUAUUUUUUUAAUUUUGGGGUAAGCUAUCCCUUUAAUGCAAUCAGACUAAAUCUUCAAAACCCAUUUUGUCUUUAACAUGUUUAACAAACUCGUUCAAAAAAAGUUGCUCCACUCUUUACACUGUGUAAUUGACCCUAAAUAAAUGAACCCUAUUAGAAUCAAUCAAAGCACUUUGAAACAAUUGAAGUCUACUUUUGACACAAUUGCGAUUCGCUGCAACGCUGAUAAAUAAAUUAGUAUGUCUUUGUGAUUGAAAUGUAAUCCUCACUAGUGCAUCCAGGGACUUUAAGAGCUUCCACAGUCAGUUAAGUGACACUGUAUUAAGUGACUAGCUAUUAAAGGGAAUUGGAGAUAGAGGUAGUUGACAUGGUGGUGCUGUUAGCAUAAUUAAGACCCAUUUAAAUGUAUAUCACUUAAAACUGAUGAGGUAAGCGGGAUUAAGGGACCAGGGUUCCCUGCCUUGUCCCGAGUCAGCUGGAAUAGGCUUCAUCACUUGAUGAAGCCGAUUCCAGAGAAUGGAUGAAUGGCAGAUUAGUUGGCUUGUAACUUUAGAAAUUAUAGUAAUAAUAUUAUAAAAAUGUGCACCGGCGGCUCCAAAAUAACGCUUUUGUUUUUACACAAAUGUCCCGAUUGCUCUCCCCAUCUGUUUGUCUUAAACCGUCUUAAAAUGCUUGUCUUAAAAUGUGAUUGGUUGAGUAAAUGUUGGCUGAAAAUGAUUCUUCGACAAAUAAUAAAUGUCUAGUGACACAGAGCUAGUGUAGGCCUAUACACUUUUGGGAAAAUCAACGUACUGCACUUUAAACUGCAAUCGGAGAAAGUGUUUUAUUUAUAUUUAUUAUGGGUCAACUUAAAUCCUCUUUUGAAAAGUAUUCUGAUCCUUGAGUCUUGAUAGUAAAAAAAUACAUUACAUGAUAAUAACAUAAAUAUAUCAAAAUAAUUGUCAUGUGUUCAGUUAUUCUCCUAUAUUCUUUUCCCAUGCCUUCUGGAACAACAGCUUAAAUGGUGUGAGUUUUUUUAUUGUUUAAAGCAGCGUUUUGUGGUUUCUGAUCAAAAUGUUGUGUUUUGGUUUCUGAUCAAAAUGUUGUGUUUUGUCCUACUAUUUUAAGUAUUAGGUAUAGGUAAGGCCUAAAUAUAAUGAUUAGGUAAGUAAAGUGUGAGUAAAAAAAAACAAAUAACAAUUUACAUUUCAUAAUUUCACAUAUAUUAAAACGUGUGUGAGUCAAUAAAACUCCACACAUUCAGUUCAUUGCUAAAAUUUGCAAAUAACAAGAGGGUUAAUAGGUGAUGCUUUAUUCGUUUUAAGUUCUGAAUGUAGAGAUAGCAGAAACAAAAAUAUGAUAAACAAAACUGCAAAAAAUUGAUAUUGUGGAUAAUUUGUUUUUAUUCUUUGACAAGGUCAAGUGUUUUGUGCAGUUACAUUGAACUGUAUUAAAGCAACAAUUUCCCCAAUUUAAAUAGUUGCUGUGUAUAUAAGUUUGCGUGUGAUAGUGUUUUAAUGCACAAACAAUAAAGCAAA